rnacentral:rRNA from 1 species
UAAGGAAUAUUGCUCAAUGGGAGAAAUCCUGAAGCAGCAACGCCGCGUGAAGGAUGAAGGGUCUAUGACUUGUAAACUCCUGUAAAGAAGGAAAAAAUUCCCAUUAGAUGGGAGAUGAUGGUACUUCUGGAGUAAGCCCCGGCUAACUACGUGCCAGCAGCCGCGGUAAUACGUAGGGGGCAAGCGUUGUCCGGAUUUACUGGGUGUAAAGGGUGCGUAGGUGGUUUGAUAAGUCAGCGGUGAAAGUUUGCAGCUUAACUGUAAAAAUGCCGUUGAAACUGUCGGACUUGAGUGUAAAUGAGGUAGGCGGAAUGCGUGGUGUAGCGGUGAAAUGCGUAGAUAUCACGCAGAACUCCGAUUGCGAAGGCAGCUUACUAAGCUACAACUGACACUGAAGCACGAAAGCGUGGGGAUCAAACA